rnacentral:rRNA from 1 species
AAUGAACGUUAGCGGCGCGCCUAACACAUGCAAGUCGCACGAGAAAGGGCUUCGGCCCCGGUAAAGUGGCGCACGGGUGAGUAACACGUGGGUAACCUGCCCUCGAGCGGGGGAUAACAUUCCGAAAGGAGUGCUAAUACCGCAUAAGACACGACCUCGAAAGGGGUUGAGGUCAAAGCUGGCCUCUAUACAUAAGCUAGCACUUGAGGAUGGGCCCGCGGCGCAUCAGGUAGNGGUGAGGUAAUGGCUCACCAAGCCUAAGACGCGUAGCUGGUCUGAGAGGAUGAUCAGCCACACUGGAACUGAGACACGGUCCAGACUCCUACGGGAGGCAGUAGUGGGGAAUCUUGCGCAAUGGGCGAAAGCCUGACGCAGCGACGCCGCG